rnacentral:lncRNA from 8 species
AUGACCUUGUGUGGUGAGAAGGGGAGGUUACAGUUAUGUGGUCUACACAACCCCCUGACCACACACUUUCCCCUCCCUCCUUCCCUCUCUGUCGCUCUCUAUAUCUCUCACUCCCUCCGUCCCUCUCUCCCUGUAUCUCUCUAUAUCUCUCUAUAUCCCUCCCUCUGUCUCUCUCUAUAUCUCUCACUCCCUCUGUCCCUCCCUCUCUGUCGCUCUCUAUAUCUCUCACUCCCUCCGUCCCUCUCUCCCUGUCUCUCUCUAUAUCUCUCUAUAUCCCUCCCUCUGUCUCUCUCUAUAUCUCUCACUCCCUCCGUCCCUCUCUCCCUGUCUCUCUCUAUAUCUCUCUAUAUCCCUCCCUCUGUCGCUCUCUAUAUCUCUCACUCCCUCCGUCCCUCUCUCCCUGUAUCUCUCUAUAUCUCUCUAUAUCCCUCCCUCUGUCUCUCUCUAUAUCUCUCACUCCCUCUGUCCCUCCCUCUCUGUCGCUCUCUAUAUCUCUCACUCCCUCCGUCCCUCUCUCCCUGUCUCUCUCUAUAUCUCUCUAUAUCCCUCCCUCUGUCUCUCUCUAUAUCUCUCACUCCCUCCGUCCCUUUCUCCCUGUCUCUCUCUAUAUCUCUCUAUAUCCCUCCCUCUGUCGCUCUCUAUAUCUCUCACUCCCUCCGUCCCUCCCUCUCCGUCUCUCUCUAUAUCUCUCACUCCCUCGGCCCCUCCCUCCCUGUCUCUCUCUAUAUCUCUCACUCCCUCCAUCCCUCCCUCUCUGUCUCUCUCUAUAUCCCUCCCUCCCUCCCUCUCUGUCUCUCUCUAUAUCCCUCCGUCCCUCCCUCUCUGUCUCUCUCUAUAUCUCUCCAUCCCUCCCUCUCUGUCUCUCUCUAUAUCCCUCCCUCCAUCCCUCCCUCCCUGUCUCUCUCUAUAUUUCUCUAUAUCCCUCCCUCCUUCUCUGUCUCUAUCUAUAUCCCUCUCUCCCUCCCUCUCUCCCUCCCUCUCUGUCUCUCUCUAUAUCCCUCCCUCCCUCUCUGUCUCUCUCUAUAUCCCUCCCUCCCUCCCUCUCUGUCUCUCUCUAUAUCCCUCCCUCCAUCCCUCCCUCCCUGUCUCUCUAUAUCUCUCUAUAUCCCUCCCUCCUUCUCUGUCUCUAUCUAUAUCCCUCUCUCCCUCCCUCUCUCCCUCCCUCUCUGUCUCUCUCUAUAUCUCUCCAUCCCUCCCUCAGUCUCUGGCUCCCCUGGUUGUGUGCAGUAUAAUUGGCCACACAGAGCCCAGAUCUCUUUGUUUCUCCUGCAGAGGCUUGCGGUGUAA